rnacentral:rRNA from 1 species
UGGGCCCUACGGGGGGCAGCAGUGGGGAAUAUUGCACAAUGGGCGAAAGCCUGAUGCAGCAACGCCGCGUGAAGGAUGACGGCCCUACGGGUUGUAAACUUCUUUUGUCAGGGAGCAAUUGGGUCCACGCGUGGGCUUAGCGAGAGUACCUGAAGAAAAAGCAUCGGCUAACUCCGUGCCAGCAGCCGCGGUAAUACGGAGGAUGCGAGCGUUAUCCGGAUUUAUUGGGUUUAAAGGGUGCGUAGGCGGAAUAUCAAGUCAGCGGUAAAAAUUCGGGGCUCAACCCCGUCGUGCCGUUGAAACUG